ensembl:lncRNA
AUGUACAGACCGCGAUCUUCCCUUUCUGAAAGCUUUCUGAAAACGGAUUUCCAACGUAAUUGUAGCGAAGCUAAGUCAUUGACAAUGUCUUUAUCCAGUGUUAGAAACCCUACCCUCAUUAAUUCAGAGGAUAUUUUACCUGCUAUCAGCGGGUGUUUCGAUAGGCUCUCUGGAUUACAGUGGGGCUUGAUAGAAAAUGGGAUCUGGGACUCCGAUGUCCAAGUAGCACUGGCUGAUAUGAUUACUGAUGUCAUACAGUCAGUUAGCGCAAGCACCAUAAAAACUUCAAUUCUAGGAGGUCAGGACCAAUUAAAUGAUGCGUCAUUCCAGACAAGCCUUAGCAUAGCCGUGACAAAAAUAAGCCCCAUAUUGGGAAACUCUCUCUCAACCAGCUUUGCUGCCGCUCUUAAUGUCACCCAUGAGGAGUGUGACAGCGCUGUGGAGCUGACACAGAUGGUUGAGGAGGAGAUCUCGAAUAAAGUCAACUCGGGUUGGGUUCUAGUCCCAGAAAACCCCGAAUCUAUUUAUGUCACCAGAAAAAUAACAAACAUAAAAAACCUCAGAUGCAUGGUUUCUCAUGCUUUCUCAUAUCUGAAGAGAUAUAAAGGUAAGCUGAGCUGCCUGUGCAUGAAGACUUUACCCAGCUCCUUUAGUUCAAGCGUUGAGAGUCUUGAAUCCAAGCUCUCUGAGAUGGGAACAAUUAAAAAAAUAAGUAUGGAUCUCAUGAGGUGGAGUACAGACAGAGCAAUAAGUAAAGAUGACGAGGACUGUCACAUAGAACUGCAACCCAUGGAGGAAAAAGAAAGUGAUGAGUUUGCAGAAGCUGAGGAGAAAGCUCGAAAUGAUAUUGAAACAAUCCUCAACAGUCUGAAUUAUUUACAUGAUGAAGAUGAUGCAGAUAAAGCUGCAGCUGACAUUGUAAAUGUGUUAAUUGCUAACAUUCAGUAUCCUGAUGCAGAAGAUAUCACAUUAAGUGAGAAGUGUAGCUCACCCAAGCCUGCUUUUGAUGUGGACCUGGUGAUCAAAAAGGUGAAAGACUUUUUUGCAUCAUGCGCCCUAAUUAUAAAACCAGAUGAAGUAAAACAACACUUCUUCAGGUUUGCUAAAAAGGAAUUUGAAAAAAUGAACAGUGAGCUGAAAGAUCAGGUGAAGAAAAGCAAAGGAUAUUUGACCUUUCACAGACAACAGGCAAACUCCGCUGAGAGUGAGAGAGCUGACUCCAGGAAAAGCGUACACAUGAAUCCCUCAGAAGUUCCCAGAAAAUCACCAACCUUAGAAACCACAGUUAAAAGUUCUUCUCCACUCAAAUUUAGAACAGUCAUGCCGGUUAUGGAUAAACUGUUUAGUAAAUUAACACAGGCAGGACACCUUGACCUGACAAGUAAGGAAAUCGAGAUGUUUUCAAGGGAGUUGACAGAUAAAGUGUACGACCAUGUUGAGUCAACAUAUCCAGCUCCCAUGAUGCAAAUGGGUAAAAGUCUCUCAGAGUCUGACAUGUCUAAGAUUUCACAGGGUGACUGUAACGUACCCUCUGCUCCUAAGGUGCCAUAUGUGCUCGUAGAAGAUUCAGUGGAAAGGUUCUUACAAAACCUUCUUUUCUGGUUGGAGAAUGAAACUUUAACCCAAACUAUUAUAAAUGACAAAAUUUCUGGUGCCGUGGAAGAUAUAGUAAGAGUGCUGACCCCAUCAAAGGAAGAAGUUAUGAUUGGACCAGAUGCUGGUGAAACAAGUGACAGACUGUUUACAUCACAGUCAAGUCCAGUUACUGAUCUCACUAAUCAACCAGUCUGUGUGAGUGCAGAACACCCGGACCUGGUUUCAAAUACAAGCAAUGAUCAGGCAUCAGUGUCUCACUCUGAACCCACAGAGGGUCAAAGUCAGCCAGCAACCUCUGAAAAAACAGAGGAAGAACUAUCAGAAACAUUAGUGUCACCUGAUGAUAGGCUAAUUGCCAAUCAAUUUAGCACUCUUCUAGUCAUGAGAAUCGCACGCAAAUUGCCCAAAAACAUCAAACAUCUUCUGGAUACAGAAAAAAUAGACUUUGCUACCAACCAUCUGACAGAGUUGGUACUUUCUGAAGUGAGACGCACCAAAUCCCUGGAAAUUCUUAAAAAUAACAGCGUUAAAUUAGUCAAGGCCACAGCUAAAGGCCUUAUCAAGGAGUUUGGAUCUUCAGAGAAGUUCUUCGAUGUAAUAAUAUCAGAAGAUUCAUCUUUUUACGACACUAUUCUGAAUCACCUAACAAUCAAUCUCGGUGUCUUCAUGAAUCCUCCAAAGAAAUCCAAACUCGCCAGGUUUUUUUCAGCAGUGUUAAAAGCUUUUAAGAAGCCGUUCAGCUGCUGCUUUAAAGGCAGUACAGAUGACUAA